UUCCGGAUGGCGCAGUCGUUAACGCACCUGCCUAUUAAGCAGGAGAUCCCGGGUUGGAAUCCCGGUCCGGUAU